rnacentral:rRNA from 1 species
GCAGUCGAGCGGAACGAUCCUAGCUUGCUAGGAGGCGUCGAGCGGCGGACGGGUGAGUAAUGCAUAGGAAUCUACCCGGUAGUGGGGGAUAACCUGGGGAAACCCAGGCUAAUACCGCAUACGUCCUACGGGAGAAAGCAGGGGAUCUUCGGACCUUGCGCUAUCGGAUGAGCCUAUGUCGGAUUAGCUAGUUGGUGAGGUAACGGCUCACCAAGGCUGCGAUCCGUAGCUGGUCUGAGAGGAUGAUCAGCCACAUCGGGACUGAGACACGGCCCGAACUCCUACGGGAGGCAGCAGUGGGGAAUAUUGGACAAUGGGCGAAAGCCUGAUCCAGCCAUGCCGCGUGUGUGAAGAAGGCCUUCGGGUUGUAAAGCACUUUCAGUGAGGAAGAAAGCCUUGAGGCUAAUACCCUCGAGGGAGGACAUCACUCACAGAAGAAGCACCGGCUAACUCCGUGCCAGCAGCCGCGGUAAUACGGAGGGUGCGAGCGUUAAUCGGAAUUACUGGGCGUAAAGCGCGCGUAGGCGGCUUGAUAAGCCGGUUGUGAAAGCCCCGGGCUCAACCUGGGAACGGCAUCCGGAACUGUCAGGCUAGAGUGCAGGAGAGGAAGGUAGAAUUCCCGGUGUAGCGGUGAAAUGCGUAGAGAUCGGGAGGAAUACCAGUGGCGAAGGCGGCCUUCUGGACUGACACUGACGCUGAGGUGCGAAAGCGUGGGUAGCAAACAGGAUUAGAUACCCUGGUAGUCCACGCCGUAAACGAUGUCGACUAGCCGUUGGGCUCCUUGAGAGCUUUGUGGCGCAGUUAACGCGAUAAGUCGACCGCCUGGGGAGUACGGCCGCAAGGUUAAAACUCAAAUGAAUUGACGGGGGCCCGCACAAGCGGUGGAGCAUGUGGUUUAAUUCGAUGCAACGCGAAGAACCUUACCUACCCUUGACAUCGAGAGAACUUUCCAGAGAUGGAUUGGUGCCUUCGGGAACUCUCAGACAGGUGCUGCAUGGCUGUCGUCAGCUCGUGUUGUGAAAUGUUGGGUUAAGUCCCGUAACGAGCGCAACCCUUGUCCCUAUUUGCCAGCGAUUCGGUCGGGAACUCUAGGG